AGAAGUAGGGAUACCCGCUGAACUUAAGCAUAUC
rnacentral:rRNA from 1 species